GAGAGUAGAGCGAGACAGAGAGAGUAGAGCGAGACAGAGAGAAUAGAGCGAGACAGAGAGAAUAGAGCGAGACAGAGAGAGUAGAGCGAGACAGAGAGAGUAGAGCGAGACAGAGAGAGUAGAGCGAGACAGAGUAGAGCAAGUAGAGCGAGUAGAGCGAGACAGAGAGAGUAGAGCGAGACAGAGAGAGUAGAGCGAGACAGAGAGAAUAGAGCGAGACAGAGAGAAUAGAGCGAGACAGAGAGAAUAGAGCGAGACAGAGAGAAUAGAGCGAGACAGAGAGAAUAGAGCGAGACGGGGAGACAGAGAAAGGGAGAGUAGAGCGAGAAAGAGAGAGUAGAGCGAGACAGAGAGAGUAGAGCGAGUAGAGCGAGACAGAGAGAGUAGAGCGAGUAGAGAGAGACAGAGAGAGUAGAGACAAAGAGGUGGAGACAGAAAGUGGAGAGAAAGAGAGCGAGACAGAGAGAGUAGAGCGAGUAGAGCGAGACAGAGAGAGUAGAGCGAGUAGAGAGAGACAGAGAGAGUAGAGACAAAGAGGUGGAGACAGAAAGUGGAGAGAAAGAGGGGGAGACAGAGAGAGUGGAGAGAAAGAGAGAGUAGAGCGAGACAGAGAGUAGAGCGAGAUAGAGAGAGUAGAGCGAGACAGAGAGAGUAGAGCGAGACAGAGAGAGUAGAGCGAGACAGAGAGAGUAGAGCGAGACAGAGAGAGUAGAGCAAGACAGAGAGACAGAGAGAGUAGAAAGAAAGAGGGGGAGACAGAGUGGAGAGAGACAGAGAGAGUAGAGAGAGACAGAGACAGAGAGAGUAGAGAGUGUAGAGAUAAGGUUAAAAUAUGCCCCUAUCUCUACUUACUGUGGAUUUUAAUGGAACGGAAUGAAGCGGGUUAAGAUAGCUGUAUCCUAUAUGGUUACAAUUUCACUUACCCUCUAUAAUGGAUCUACAGUAUUAUCAUAUUGCUUAACACAGACACAC
rnacentral:lncRNA from 1 species